CGGAGGGUGCAAGCGUUAUCCGGAUUCACUGGGUUUAAAGGGAGCGUAGGUGGCUUUGUAAGUCAGUGGUGAAAUAUUGCGGCUCAACCGCAAAACUGCCAUUGAUACUGCUUAGCUUGAAUCACGUCGAGGUGGAUGGAAUAAUACAUGUAGCGGUGAAAUGCUUAGAUAUGUAUUAGAACACCGAUUGCGAAGGCAGUUCACUAGGCGUGUAUUGACACUGAGGCUCGAAAGCGUGGGGAUCAAACAGGAUUAGAUACCUUGGUAGUCCACGCCCUAAACGAUGUAAACUCGACAUUAGCGAUAUACUGUUAGUGUCCAAGCGAAAGCGUUAAGUUUACCACCUGGGAAGUACGACCGCAAGGUUG
rnacentral:rRNA from 1 species